CAAUAGGUGAUUUUCCGUUGAAACAAAAAUUAAAAUUAAGUGAUUAAAAAUUGACAAAUUGAAAUUAGGUGAAACUAAAUACAAAAUUGCACUGUUGGUAUUAUUUACCCAAAACUCAGGUUUUUACAGCUGAGGUGGCUUCUCAAAUUGCAGCAGUAUCGGUUGUAGCGCAAGCAAAAGAGCAGCGUACUUCAGGUGAAGCCAAUGAAGCUGCUAAGAAACCACCAACAGUUCAAGUUUUUGUUGCACUUGUUAAACAACUAAGAGAAGAAAUAGGAGCUGGGAUGAUGGAAUGCAAGAAAGCUGUGUCUAAAUUGGAGGCGACCUUGAGAAGGUACAGGAGUAUCUCAGCAAGAAAGGUCUUUCAAACACUGAUAAGAAAUCUCGUGGGCUUGCAGCUGAAGGUAGAAUUGGCUCCUACAUUCACGAUUCUCACAUUGAAAUUCUAAUUAAAGUCAAUUGUGAAACUGACUUUAUAGGUAGAAGUGAAAAAUGUUCGAAAUUUUAAUGUAGGUUGCUAUCAAUUGUUGGUUCGUUUGUGUGAGAAAAUAGACUGUAAGAAAUAUAAUUUAAGAAUAUAUGUAUGGAGUUAAAUUUGUAUUUAAGUAAUCACUUGUGUAACAGGCUUAUGCACUUCUAAUGAGCUGGUGAGGCAGUUAUAAGGAUUAUAUAUAGAUAGGCUAGGUCUCUUCUCCAUCCUUAAUUCUAAUAUUGGCCAGUCCUAUUGAAAGCCACUCGUGAAUAAAAGAAUUCUAAUUUCGUGUUAA